rnacentral:lncRNA from 1 species
UCGUAGUGAAUAUGUGAUUUUGUUGUAAACAUGGAUAAAACUUGUUUUAGUUACUCAUAAGCUAUUGAUUAAACCCAUACGUGAAUUCUAAAUCGUGAUAUUGUAAAACGAUACAUGAGUGUUAGAUGGAUCUUUGAUAUUAAAAUUUAUGAAAUUGUAAGUUUAUGAGUAUUCGAAUAUGAAAUGAUAGUAUGGCGUGAAAUUGAAUUAUUCAUUGGGAAAUGAUUAAUGUAGAUUCGGCCAAGACAAAGUGUAUACAUGAUAGUAUAUGUGAUAUGUGAAGUAUAUUUGGAUAAUUGUGAUGUGAAAGUGUAUAUAUGUGAUAAGGCCGAAUGGCCAAUGUGAUGAAUGUGAAAGUGUAUAUAUAUGUGAUAAGGCCUAAUGGCCGAUGUGAUGAAUGUGAAAGUGUAUAUAUAUGUGAUAAGGCCUAAUGGCCGAUGUGAUGAAUGUGAAAGUGUAUAUAUGUGAUAAGGCCUAAUGGCCGAUGUGAUGAAUGUGAAAGUGUAUAUAUGUGAUGAGGCCUAAUGGCCGAUGUGAUGAAUGUG